UACGUAGGUGGCAAGCGUUGUCCGGAUUUAUUGGGUUUAAAGGGUGCGUAGGCGGUCAAGUAAGUCAGCGGUGAAAUCCGGCAGCUCAACUGUCGAUGUGCCAUUGAUACUGCAUGACUUUGAGUACUGAUGAGGUAGGCGGAAUUGACGGUGUAGCGGUGAAAUGCUUAGAUAUCGUCAAGAACACCGAUACGAAAGGGCAGCUUACUAAGCAGUAACUGACGCUGAAUGCACGAAAAGUGUGGGGGAUCAAACAGG
rnacentral:rRNA from 1 species